rnacentral:rRNA from 1 species
UACGAAGGGGGCUAGCGUUGCUCGGAAUUACUGGGCGUAAAGGGCGCGUAGGCGGACAGUUAAGUCAGAGGUGAAAGCCCAGGGCUCAACCCUGGAAUUGCCUUUGAUACUGGCUGUCUUGAGUGCGGGAGAGGUGUGUGGAACUCCGAGUGUAGAGGUGAAAUUCGUAGAUAUUCGGAAGAACACCAGUGGCGAAGGCGACACACUGGCCCGGUACUGACGCUGAGGUGCGAAAGCGUGGGGAGCAAACAGG